rnacentral:rRNA from 1 species
CCUUAGAGUUUGAUCCUGGCUCAGAACGAUCGCUGGCGGCAGGCUUAACACAUGCAAGUCGAACGCCCCGCAAGGGGAGUGGCAGACGGGUGAGUAACGCGUGGGAACGUACCCUUUACUACGGAAUAACUCAGGGAAACUUGUGCUAAUACCGUAUGUGCCCUUCGGGGGAAAGAUUUAUCGGUAAAGGAUCGGCCCGCGUUGGAUUAGCUAGUUGGUGGGGUAAAGGCCUACCAAGGCGACGAUCCAUAGCUGGUCUGAGAGGAUGAUCAGCCACAUUGGGACUGAGACACGGCCCAAACUCCUACGGGAGGCAGCAGUGGGGAAUAUUGGACAAUGGGCGCAAGCCUGAUCCAGCCAUGCCGCGUGAGUGAUGAAGGCCCUAGGGUUGUAAAGCUCUUUCACCGGUGAAGAUAAUGACGGUAACCGGAGAAGAAGCCCCGGCUAACUUCGUGCCAGCAGCCGCGGUAAUACGAAGGGGGCUAGCGUUGUUCGGAAUUACUGGGCGUAAAGCGCACGUAGGCGGGUAUUUAAGUCAGGGGUGAAAUCCCAGAGCUCAACUCUGGAACUGCCUUUGAUACUGGGUACCUAGAGUAUGGAAGAGGUAAGUGGAAUUCCGAGUGUAGAGGUGAAAUUCGUAGAUAUUCGGAGGAACACCAGUGGCGAAGGCGGCUUACUGGUCCAUUACUGACGCUGAGGUGCGAAAGCGUGGGGAGCAAACAGGAAUAGACCCCCUGGUAGUCCACGCCGUAAACGA